UACGGGGGGAGCAAGCGUUGUUCGGAUUUACUGGGCGUAAAGGGCGCGUAGGCGGUCAGCACAAGUCAGUUGUGAAAACUCCGGGCUUAACUCGGAAAGGUCAACUGAUACUGUGCGACUAGAGUGCAGAAGGGGCAACUGGAAUUCUCGGUGUAGCGGUGAAAUGCGUAGAUAUCUGGAGGAACACCGGUGGCGAAGGCGGCGUCCUGGACCAACACUGACACUGAUGAGCGAAAGCCAGGGGAGCAAACGGG
rnacentral:rRNA from 1 species